GCAAGGGACUUAGUCACUUGAGCACCUAGACGGGAAACCUCUAGCGUGAAUGGAGUCAAAUUCGGGGAAACCUCAGCGCUUUUUAGGGUGGUGGCAAUCCCGAGCUAAGCCUUGUUUUUUAAGGAAAGUGUAGAGACUUAACGGCUCCUACCUAAGUUAUUGUUUCGAUUCCCAGACGAGGCGAUGAUAGGGUAAAGAUAAAGUCCAGACCACAAAUGUGCU
rnacentral:ncRNA from 1 species